GACUAACGCUGGCGGCGUGCCUAAUACAUGCAAGUCGAACGGGACUCUUUGAUCAGCUUGCUGAGAGAAGGAUCUAGUGGCGGACGGGUGAGUAACGCGUGGGAAUCUGCCUCUUACUGGGGGAUAACAGUGGGAAACUACUGCUAAUACCGCAUAAGAUCUUCGGAUGAAAGGUGCAACUGCACCGGUAAGAGAUGAGCCCGGUCCCAUUAGCUAGUUGGUGAGGUAAAGGCUCACCAAGGCGACGAUGGGUAGCCGGCCUGAGAGGGUGAACGGCCACACUGGGACUGAGACACGGCCCAGACUCCUACGGGAGGCAGCAGUAGGGAAUCUUCCGCAAUGGGCGCAAGCCUGACGGAGCGACGCCGCGUGAGUGAUGAAGGCCUUCGGGUCGUAAAGCUCUGUUCUUGAGGACGAAUAAGCCAGGGAUGGAAAGCCCUGGUGAUGACUGUACUCAAGGAGAAAGCUCCGGCUAACUACGUGCCA
rnacentral:rRNA from 1 species